UUCUGAUUUCUGGAAUUUUUAAAUAUUCUUAAAGACUAUACCUAGGUACUUGUAUUUUAAAAUACUUAUAUUUUAGAAUAAUUUAAAAAACCCCUUUUUUGUGUAAUUUUUUAACAAGAUGAUUUUUUUACAAUGCAGUUGAUAUUUAAUCCAAACCAAAAUUCAUAAAAGUAGUUUUUGAAUUCUUAAACUAUAUUUGUGAUAAUAAGAUCUAUAAUAAUAGUACUUCAUAAACGGUCUUACAAAGAACAUGGAAAAAAUGGUUUGAAAUCGUGAUUGGACCAGUGCGGCAGGCCGGUUGCAACAACUAAGUCUGGGCCGCAGGAUGAGCAUCACAUCGGAGCGUCGUUUAUCAAGGAAACCCAACAAAUAACAAUAUAAUACGACCUAUACCUGUGGUGUAGUCGGGCGGGUCGAUUUAUAGAAACCUGUUGUCCGAGUG